CUGAACGAGACUACAUAACAGUAGCGUCUUAACAAACACAGGAUCAAUAACACCUAGGGAAAGAACCAAAGGGAUUGACAUAUAUGGGGAAGAUAAUCAGGCAGGUGAUUGAGUCCAGGUGAGUCUGAUGAUGCGCGUAACGAUGGUGACAUGUGUGCGUAAAAAUGAGUAGCCUGACGACCUCGAGCGCCGGAGAGGGAGUAUACGUGACGGUUCUGUUACAAAUUAUAUACUUACUCAUGAUAUACUUCCGCCAGAAUGGGACGGUGACCUUUCCUCCAUCCUUCUCCAUUUGAUUCAUCCUUCAUCACAAGGCCGCAAAAGACCAGGCAAGAUGAAUCAGUAUCCAGGAUCACCUUGAUGCGAUUGACCAGAGCCGCCAAACAUAUCUUAUUGCAGUCGGGACCAGGAAAAGCAGCAUCCAUGCUUACUUCAUCAUCCUGAACAAGCGAGCCCUGCACGUCAACGAGCGCUCUUGGUGCCUUCGAUAAGCUUUAAGACUCACUUUGCAUUUGGUACUGCUUACAAUGUUGCGCAACAUAUACACCUUCAUACAGACAACUGUAUACAACCUAGACAUUGGGAAGGUUAAGGUGACUCCAACGGUUGCUGAGCUCAAAGCUAGACUCCUGCAUUAAUGCAGAUUAAUUUAUGAUGAUAUGUUUUGUUUGCCAUGCUAGUACCAACUUGCUCGUGAGGCAUGGAAUGUGCCCUUAUAGAACUGACUAAAAUGUGGUCAAGCAGAUUGUUGUCAUGUAUUUUGUCAAAUUUUGUUAAACUUAACUUGGAUGCUAAUACAGCCGUUGAUAAUCAGCCAAGUAAUUGUGAUUUUCUUUCAAAUUGUAGUUGUAACCAUGUACCAAUAUCUAACAAGAACACACGAUGUGUGCAUCUGCUAUUGCACAGCUGCUGGUGUAGGUCAGACGACUGUAAAUAGUUAAUCAUCCAUGGAAGAAGCAGUUCAAGAGCUACAGGGUCAAGCUAAAGCAACCCCUCUUACAUGUAA